rnacentral:rRNA from 1 species
AGACGGGGGGGGCGAGCGUUGUUCGGAAUUACUGGGCGUAAAGCGCGCGUAGGUGGUUUGACAAGUCAGAGGUGAAAGCCCUUGGCUCAACCAAGGAACUGCCUCUGAAACUGUCAGACUUGAGUACGGGAGAGGGAGGUAGAAUUUCUGGUGUAGCGGUGAAAUGCGUAGAUAUCAGAAAGAAUACCAGUGGCGAAGGCGGCCUCCUGGCCCGAUACUGACACUGAGGUGCGAAAGCGUGGGUAGCAAACAGGAUUAGAAACCCCGGUAGUCC